rnacentral:rRNA from 1 species
AUUGAACGCUGGCGGCAUGCCUUACACAUGCAAGUCGAACGGUAACAGGUUAAGCUGACGAGUGGCGAACGGGUGAGUAAUGUAUCGGAACGUGCCCAGUCGUGGGGGAUAACUGCUUGAAAGAGCAGCUAAUACCGCAUACGACCUGAGGGUGAAAGCGGGGGAUCGCAAGACCUCGCGCGAUUGGAGCGGCCGAUAUCAGAUUAGGUAGUUGGUGAGGUAAAGGCUCACCAAGCCGACGAUCUGUAGCUGGUCUGAGAGGACAACCAGCCACACUGGGACUGAGACACGGCCCAGACUCCUACGGGAGGCAGCAGUGGGGAAUUUUGGACAAAGGGCGCAAGCCUGAUCCAGCCAUGCCGCGUGCGGGAAGAAGGCCUUCGGGUUGUAAACCGCUUUUGUCAGGGAAGAAAAGGUUCUGGCUAAUACCUGGGACUCAUGACGGUACCUGAAGAAUAGGCACCGGCUAACUACGUG